GUGGCUGUGUAUUAUGCUGGAACUGGAGUUAAGGACAAUUGUGAGCCACCAUGUGGGUGUACAGGGGAUCGAACCUGUGUCCUCUACAAGAGCAAGUGUUCUUGACAACUGAGCUAUUCCUCCAGCCCCUAUUUACUUAAUUUUUUACCGUGCUUAGUUCCUGCUUUGUUGUUAGAGCUAGUAACAGCUAUUCCCCAAGCCUCUCAGCUACAGACUUUGCUUGAGCUGAAAAAAAAAGAAAAGAAAAGGAAAGAAGAGAAGAGAAGAGAAGAGAAGAGAAGAGAAGAGAAGAGAAGAGAAGAGAAGAGAAAAGAAAAGAAAAGAAAAGAAAAGAAAAGAAAAGAAAAGAAAAGAAAAAGUAAGUUGGGUAUGGCGGCAGAUGCUUACACGAUGCCGGCACUUGGACUAGAGAUGCUGUGUCAACAAACAGAUAAGUACCCCAGGUCUGAUGACUCAGAUCUAUAAUUUCAGCUACUCAGUAGUCUGAGGCAAGAGGAUAAAGAUAAUUUGCUGCCUUGGGUGACUGAGUAAGACCUUGUUUCAAAACCCUGUGGAGGCCAGGGUUGACCAAGUGCUUGCCAUGCAACCAAGAAGACCUGAGUUUGACUUUACCCUGGCACCCAAGUACAGAGCCACCAUGGUGAGCUGUGCUGGUAAUAUUCGAUGCUGGGGAAGCAGCGACAGGAGGAGCCCUGGUACUCACAGGCCAGCCAGAGCAGCCGGAUCAGUGAGCUGGUCCCAAGGAGAGACCUUGUCUUAACAACCAAGACGGUGAUCUUCUGAAUAACACCAGCCAACGCUGACCUCUUGCUUGACCGGCGUUGAACACAUGUGCGUCCACACUUGCACAUAUAUACACGAAAACAUACAAGCACACACACAGAAACACCAAACGAACAGGUCUGGAAUUAUAGAGCAAAGCAGCAAAGCCCUCGCCUAGCCUGCUAGCUCAGCCUGGGUUCAAUCCCUAGAAACUCAGAAAUGAAUGAAGUGACUAUUAAGCACACCGUAGAGCCACCCUAAACAAUUUGCCAUUGGUUCUGGAGAGAUGGCUCAGGGGUUAAGAGCACUGGCUGCUCUUGCAGAGCACCUGGGUUCUAUUUCCAGCAACCACACAGUGGCGCACAACCAUGUUAACUGUAGUUGCAGGAGAUCCAACGCCCUCUUCUGGCUCUACAAGAACUGUCACAUGUGAUAGAAACAUAGAAACACAUGCAGGCAAAACACACACACAUAAAAUAAAAAUGAGAGAUGGAGGGAGGGAAAGAGAGAGAGAGACAAGGGGGGAGGAAAUACACUCUUUAAAGUGGGUGGAGCUGCAGAAAGUCCACUCCUCUUACACACACACACACACACACACACACACACACACACACACACACACACAUACACACCCCUCCGCCCCCAAAGCUGUAUUAAGUCCUUUUCAAUGGAGAACCUGGGAAAGAAUAUAACAACUCCUUUAAAAGCUGGCCCGCCCUGCAGUCGAAGCCAAGCUGUAAAACUGUUUGGGAAGUAGAAAGGUUAGUAAAGAGCGCGAUCCUAUGACCAGUCAGGCCGAUCCGCUGGGAGGGUGUUUGGAAUGGUCUCAGUGCUAGCUGCUGAGGAAACCAGCGUUUGGAAACAAUAACAUCAUGGGACUUUUUAUAUGGCCCGCUGGCAUUGUGAUGCAAUUUGAGCGUUUUAGCAUUUUCCCAACUUUCUGUUCUCACCACAGGAAAAGUGGGGACUGGAGGAGUCGGGUGCCUCAUCACCAGUACUUCUCUCAGACAAAUUAUAAACAGAGAGUUAAAGAACUCCUCUGCUACAGCCAGGAAACAAAGCAGCCUUCAAACGCCUCACAUGUCAAGAUGCCCUCGUUCCCAAAGCACUGCAGCUGUGUGUAACCCCAAAGGUCUCAGAGACAAAGGAGAAACAGAAAAGGGGGAGAAAGGGCUGCAGAGCCUACAGAGAUGCAGCCAGAUAGCAUCGGGUUUACAUCUAAAGUUCUACACCUGGGUCUUGGGGAUUGACUCAGUUCUUCAGAGCAGAAAGAAAGUCCUUUAUUCCUCGAGCCAGCUCAUCAUCCCACUUGCUUCUUUUGAUUCCGGAUCUAAUGAAAGAAUCUUUCAUUUAUAUGAUGUCUUCUGUUAGUAAUUUCUUGUCUGACGACUUCCUUAUCCCUCUCUUUGGCUUUUAUGUGGUCAUGUGUGCAGGUACCUUCAGAGGCCAGAAGAGGACGCUGGAUCCCUGGAGCUGGAGCCAUAGGCAGUUGUGAAUCAUCUGACUUGGAAGCUGGAAACUGAAGUGAAGUUAAUCACUUUUGACAGAAUAACUCAUAGGUGGUAGAGGCAUCAACUCCACAUGCUGCAAGUAGUCUCCAGCCACAGGAAGUCAAGACACAGGAAGUGCAAAGCCAGGUCCUACACUUACCUUCCUGGUGUCUUUAGCAAGGACUGCUGUAUCUCUGUGCUCAUUUCUCCUGAACUGGUUGACCCCUACGUCCCUAAAUGAUGUUUGGAGCAGAGGCAGGCUUUCACUAUGGAGUCUUGGCUAGCCUGGAACACACAGAGAUGUAUCUUCCCCUGCUGGGAUUAAAGGCCUAGCUCACACUAGCCAGAAUUUUACAGAAGAAGAAGGAGGAGGAGGAGGAGGAGGAGGAGGAGAAGGAGGAGAAGGAGAGGAGAAAGAAGAAGAAGAAGAAGAAGAAGAAGAAGAAGAAGAAGAAGAAGAAGAAGAAGAAGGAAGAAGAAGAAAGAAGAAGAAAAGAAGAAGAAAAGAAGAAGAAGAAAACGGAAAUUUUUAUUUGGACAAAAACUUAGGCCUUGGCAGCAUGGGGGCUCAAGCCUGGAUUCCCAAUUCUCUGAAGGCUGAUGCAGGAGGAUUAAUGUGAGUUUGAUGCCUGCGUGGUAUAGUAUGAGACAGUAUAAAGAAAGACCCCCCCCCCCCCCAAAUAAAAACCACAAGGCCUUCUCCA